rnacentral:rRNA from 1 species
CCUACGGGAGGCAGCAGUGAGGAAUAUUGGUCAAUGGACGAGAGUCUGAACCAGCCAAGUAGCGUGAAGGAUGACUGCCCUAUGGGUUGUAAACUUCUUUUAUAUGGGAAUAAAAUGUUCCACGUGUGGGAUUUUGUAUGUACCAUAUGAAUACGGAUCGGCUAACUCCGUGCCAGCAGCCGCGGUAAUACGGAGGAUCCGAGCGUUAUCCGGAUUUAUUGGGUUUAAAGGGAGCGUAGGUGGAUUGUUAAGUCAGUUGUGAAAGUUUGCGGCUCAACCGUAAAAUUGCAGUUGAAACUGGCAGUCUUGAGUACAGUAGAGGUGGGCGGAAUUCGUGGUGUAGCGGUGAAAUGCUUAGAUAUCACGAAGAACUCCGAUUGCGAAGGCAGUUCACUGGACUGCAACUGACACUGAGGCUCGAAAGUGUGGGUAUCAAACAGGAUUAGAUACCCGUGUAGUC